rnacentral:rRNA from 1 species
GAUGAACGCUAGCGGGAGGCCUAACACAUGCAAGCCGAGCGGUAGAGACCUUUCUGGAUCUUGAGAGCGGCGUACGGGUUCGGAACACGUGUUCAACCUGCCUUUAUCAGGGGGAUAGCCUUUCGAAAGGAAGAUUAAUACCCCAUACUAUAUUGAUUGGCAUCAUUUGAUAUUGAAAACUCCGGUGGAUAGAUAUGGGCACGCGCAAGAUUAGAUAGUUGGUAGGGUAACGGCCUACCAAGUAAGUGAUCCUUAGGGGGCCUGGGAGAGUGAUCCCCCGCACGAGAACUGGGACACGCACCCGACUCCUGCGAGAGGCCGCAGUGUGCAAUAGUAGGCAGUGGGUGAGAGCCUGAUACAGCCAUCCCGCGUGAAGGACGACGGCCCUAUGGGUUGUAAACUUCUUUUGUAUAGAGAAAACCCUUUCCACGGGUGGGAAGCUGACGGUACUAUACGAAUAAGCACCGGCUAACUCCGUG